rnacentral:rRNA from 1 species
UGCAGUCGAACGGAUCCUUCGGGAUUAGUGGCAGACGGGUGAGUAACGCGUGGGAAGCUACCUUGUGGUAGGGGACAACAGUUGGAAACGACUGCUAAUACCCUAUGAGCCCUAUGGGGGAAAGAUUUAUCGCCAUGAGAUGUGCCCGCGUUAGAUUAGCUAGUUGGUAAGGUAAUGGCUUACCAAGGCGACGAUCUAUAGCUGGUCUGAGAGGAUGAUCAGCCACACUGGGACUGAGACACGGCCCAGACUCCUACGGGAGGCAGCAGUGGGGAAUAUUGGACAAUGGGGGCAACCCUGAUCCAGCCAUGCCGCGUGUGUGAUGACGGCCUUAGGGUUGUAAAGCACUUUCAGCAGUGAAGAUAAUGACAUUAACUGCAGAAGAAGCCCCGGCUAACUUCGUGCCAGCAGCCGCGGUAAUACGAAGGGGGCUAGCGUUGUUCGGAAUCACUGGGCGUAAAGAGUACGUAGGCGGACUGAUAAGUUAGGGGUGAAAUCCCAAGGCUCAACCUUGGAACUGCCUUUGAUACUGUCAGUCUUGAGAUCGAGAGAGGUGAGUGGAACUCCGAGUGUACAGGUGAAAUU